ACUCCAACAUGCUAAAUCUAUAGCAAGUAAGAAUGUAGAGUGCUGGGAAGGCAAAUGGGGUGUUGAGCCUCUGGGAGACAACAUGUGGUGGCUGUAAAUGCAGUGAUCAGUUGUGUGAUGAGGGCAGCUGGCCUGGUUUGCUCCACCAUGUCUGAACCUCCAGCAAGUAAGGAUGGGUGCUACAAAGACUUGGCUGUAGAUGGCAGUAAUAAGUUCUGUGAUGAGGGCAGUGGCCUUGUUUGCUUGACCACAUGUGCCCCUGCAUCAGGGGAGAUUGAAUGGUUGAGAUGUGUCAGAAGUUGUCCUGGGACCUGCUGUGAUUUCAGUGCACUAGCAGAAAGCUGUCUUCUGCUAAUGAUGUCCCUCUCCAUGCUGCUGCCUGUGAUCACUUGUCCAAGCUACAGCAUUCACAUCACCCUGCCAGCAGCUCUGGUCUUUUCUCAGAGCUAGCAGGAGUGAUAAAUUGGUGUCCUGCCAACUUACAGACAGAGGGUGUUACGUUUUUCUUUCCCUUGAUAUGAGGCAUUUAACUGUCAUGGAUUCUGGAACUUGCUGCAUGUUUAAUGUAAUUGGAUGCUUUUGUCUCCAAGGGCUGACAGCUAAUGCUACCCUACCACAGCCAUUAAAAGUAAGGAAGCCUUUCCUCAGAGAGCGGUUGUCAAGUUGGGGAGGAUGGCCUGCUGUGUAAAGAGGGUGGGAUUCAAGUCUUUGCUCUCUCCUGUCAUCCAGUGAUGUAUUAUUGGCAGCCUAUAAAGUGCGGAAGGGGCAGCUUGAAUGCUGCAACACAGUAACAUUUCUGUACUGAUAAGAGUCUGUUUUUAAUAAAAUCUAAAUACUAGAUGAAU
rnacentral:lncRNA from 14 species